GAUGAAGAACGCAGCGAAAUGCGAUACGUAAUGUGAAUUGCAGAAUUCAGUGAAUCAUCGAAUCUUUGAACGCAUAUUGCGCUCUCUGGUAUUCCGGAGAGCAUGCUUGUUUGAGUAUCAGUAAACACCUCAACUUCCAUAUCUUUUUUGAAAUGGGAGUUGGACUUGAGUGAUCCCAACGCUUUUCCUCACCGAAAAGUGGCGGGUUACUUGAAAUGCAGGUGCAGCUGGACUUUUCUCUGAGCUAUAAGCAUAUCUAUUUAGUCUGCCUAAAAAACAGAUUAUUCCCUUUGCUGCAGCUAACAUAAAGGAGAUUAGUUCUUGUGCUGACUGAUGCAGGAUUCACAAAGACAGGCUUCGGCCGACUUUGUAAACUCGAUCUCAAAUCAAGUAAGACUACCCGCUGAACUUAAGCAUAUCAAUAAGCGGAAGA
rnacentral:misc_RNA from 1 species